ensembl:lncRNA
CAGGUCCCAAAUUAUUGCACAACUUGUAAAACAUUAGCUUAAUAUGGUCCACUAUUGCUAGCGUCCCUCAGGAACAACCACACCAACAUGACAGAGGGAAGAAAGGUCCACUAACAAUGGAAUGGAAUGAUGCCACGUGUCAGGAAACUAACACUAAAGAGACAGUUAUACAUAUACACCACCGUUCAAAAGUUUGGGGUCACUUAGAAAUGUCCUUGUUUUUUAAAGAAAAGCACAAUUUUGGUCCAUUAAAAUAACAUAAAAUUGAUCAGAAAUACAGUGUAGACAUUAUUAAUGUUGUAAAUGACAAUUGUAGCUGGAAACGGCAGAUUUUUUAAUGGAAUAUCUACAGUGUAUAUAGUCUAGAACAGGGCUAUUCAACUAUACUGAACAAAAAUGCAUAUUUCAGUUGACUAGUUUUUGUGCAGAAGUCUCUCUCCUUCCUAUCAGUAGAGAAUGGGCCCCUAUAAUAAACUGCACCACCUCUGUGGGGACUUAAACUCAUCAAAUCUUGUUGCAAAGUUAGCUUUCAGUUUAUCUAAAACUCCGAUAUCAAGGGAUCUGUACUGAUGACUGAAUGUGGACUGAAUGUGGUGCAGUGUAGGGAAAUGGAGUGUUGAAUAGCCCUGGCCUACACUUCCUUCUGAACUUCUAACAUAAGUGAGGUGGGUGUGGCUUCGUGACUGAUCUCAGCAGCAGCUGCUCACCAACACGGUUGCUACGCCACCAAAACAUGUGGGUGUCUGCUAUCGGCGUUAACGCUUCAUCUGAUUGAAUCUAGGCCUGUAUUUUUAAUGCUUGAUCUGAUUGAAUCUAGGCCUGUAUUUUUAAUGCUUGAUCUGAUUGAAUCUAGGUCUGUGUUUUUGACAACUCCAUUGUUUCCAUUGUCAAGCCAACCAUUUGGCGUGCCAGGGAGAUAGCAUGAUAGCACAAACAGAUUGGCACUCAGGCUACCCACCCCCUCCUCAGUAAGUAUUGUCCUGUUCAGUAUUAAUUAGCCUGUACUAAUAUAACAGUGAUGACCGAAAACAUUGGUCCAGAUAUUAGGAAC